rnacentral:rRNA from 1 species
GGCUCAGAACGAACGCUGGCGGCGUGCCUAACACAUGCAAGUCGAGCGGGAAAAUGGGGGCAACUCCAUGAGUACAGCGGCGCACUGGUGAGUAACACGUAGGUAACCUACCUAUGAGUCUGGAAUAACCUGCCGAAAGGCGGGCUAAUACCGGAUAAGGCCACGGGGGCUGUGGCUCCCGGGGCAAAAGGUGGCCUCUCCAUGGAAGCUACCACUCGUAGAUGGGCCUGCGCGCCAUUAGCUAGUUGGCGGGGUAAUGGCCCACCAAGGCGAAGAUGGCUAGCUGGUCUGAGAGGAUGGCCAGCCACACUGGGACUGAGACACGGCCCAUACUCCUACGGGAGGCAGCAGUGGGGAAUAUUGCGCAAUGGGCGAAAGCCUGACGCAGCGACGCCGCGUGGGUGAUGAAGGCCUUCGGGUCGUAAAGCCCUGUCGGGAGGGACGAAACCUCGGUGACCUAAUACGUCAUCGACCUGACGGUACCUCCUAAGGAAGCACCGGCUAACUCCGUGCCAGCAGCCGCGGUAAUACGGAGGGUGCAAGCGUUGUUCGGAAUUACUGGGCGUAAAGCGCGUGUAGGCGGUCGCUUAAGUCUGAUGUGAAAGCCCGGGGCUCACCUCCGGAAGAGCAUUGGAAACUGAGCGACUCGAGUGCCGGAGAGGAGGGUGGAAUUCCUGGUGUAGCGGUGAAAUGCGUAGAUAUCAGGAGGAACACCGGUGGCGAAGGCGGCCCUCUGGACGGAUACUGACGCUGAGACGCGAAAGCGUGGGGAGCAAACAGGAUUAGAUACCCUGGUAGUCCACGCUGUAAACGAUGGGCACUAGGUGUUCGGGGUAUUGACCCCCUGAGUGCCGCAGCUAACGCAUUAAGUGCCCCGCCUGGGGACUACGGCCGCAGGUUAAACUCAAAG